GAGUUUGAUCAUGGCUCAGGACGAACGCUGGCGGCGCGCUUAACACAUGCAAGUCGAACGGGCUUCGGAAGGGGGGUCAGUGGCGAACGGGUGCGUAACACGUGAGCAACCUGCCCGGAUGCGGGGGAUAACCCGGGGAAACCCGGGCUAAUACCGCAUGAGAUCACGUCCUCGCAUGGGGAGGUGCUGAAAGCUCCUGCGCCGGAGCGCCUGCAGAGGGGCUCGCGGCGUAUCAGCUAGCUGGUGGGGUAACGGCCUACCAGGGCUACGACGCGUAGCCGAUCUGAGAGGAUGAUCGGCCACAUUGGGACUGAGAUACGGCCCAGACUCCUACGGGAGGCAGCAGUGGGGAAUCUUGCGCAAUGGGCGAAAGCCUGACGCAGCGACGCCGCGUGCGGGAUGACGCUUUUCGGAGUGUAAACCGCUGUCAGGAGGGAAGAAGUCCGUGGGGAGGAAAUGCCCUGCGGUUGACGGUACCUCCAGAGGAAGCACCGGCUAACUCCGUGCCAGCAGCCGCGGUAAUACAAGGG
rnacentral:rRNA from 1 species